CUUUGGAGUUUUCCUGUAAGCCCAGGGUAUGGGGCAACUGAGAAAAUCAUCCAGUCUAUUUUCUUGUUCAACAGUGACUUGGGUAAUGUGAAACAGCAACCAAAGGUGACUUAUGCUUUGGACAUGCAGCUGACUUUGCCAUGAAAUCUACUGAACAAGAAUGGAGGUGAAUAUUCUUGUGUUUGAAAGGCUAAGUUGAAUGAGAGGUAAUGAAAUUUAAGUAUUUGCUUUGUACCUCCACAUAAUUUCUGAGAGGAUCCGAAGUGCUACAGGUACAAGUCCAGUAUUUCAAAAAAUUAAGUAUUUAUCUACUCAAGUUUAUAGUUGGGUGUCUAGCAACUGCUCACCAGUCUAUCAGUUUGGAAUCUGUGCACCUAAGAGAAUCUGGUAGCUGUGAAAAUUAACAAAGAAGCUUGUUUCAAUCAGGAUUUAUGAUUGAUUUACUCUUGUAUACAAGUCUAGGCUGUCCUACAGUAUUUUUUUCUGCCCCUGAUACUGCACUGCGUGGAGAGAAGAAAUGAAAAAUGCACAUGGAAGGAGACUUUCUGAGGACAUACUUGAAAAGUACACUCGGACAAAGGCACUGGCUGCCAAAAAUGGUACUAUAUCUAAAAGUGCAACCUACACUGAAGCUGUGGGGGAACCAAUGCCAGAGCAGAAACACUCCCAAGGGGCUUAUAGGUCUUAAAUAACCUGUGUUGGAUCACAGAAAAUAAGAAGGGGGAAGAGAAGAAAAAGAUUAAGGAAGAGGGAUCAGCAGAAAGAAACUUCUGUGCACUGACCAUGACCUCCUGCACUGCCUGUUGCCUCACCGAAGGGCUAGAAGGGACUGAAUGUAAAGGACUGAAAAAGCAAGACGAGUUCAGACUAAGAAGGAGGAAGGAGAUGUACUGGACUUGGUAAAGGGAGAGAAAAAGUUUUUAUCUGUUUCUAGCUUGUCCUCUUUGGGGUUUGGUACCUGAAUCCAUAACUGAAAAUUUGCAAUUAG